UAUUUGAUCACCUUUCACACACUUUAUUUAAUUACCCAUACCAUAUGUUAUAUGCCUAAAUUUUGCUAAGUAUGGAAUUGAGAGAGUAGAGAAUUGAGAGUAUGAGAUGGAGAGUGUAGAGAUUAGAGAGAGAUUAGAGUGAGAGAGAGAUCAUCCAUUAAUUAGCAAAUAUUCUCUAAGAUAUCAAAUCCUCUUUAAAGAUUCACAAAUCUUUACAAGAUUAGCAAAAUCCUCAAAAAUCUUGCUAGAUAAUUCUCUCUCUCCCUCCACCCAUUUUCGAGCUCUCUCUCUCUCCCCUUCAUCUCUCUAUUUUUCCACCAUUUUCCUCCAUUGAUGCACCUUCGAAGCUUCUCAAAUUCAUACCAAAAACUCAAAUCACCCUCUAAAUCCACCCUAAACACCUCUUAUCAACUUAAAUCCAAGAGAAUCCUUGAAGAUUGGUUUCAAGAAUAGUGAGAGAAAAUUUGGAUAAUUGGUGAAAACUUGGACACAAGCAGAGCAAGGAAGUAAGUAACUCCGCUUUGACGGGAGUUUUUGAGUAAGGUCUUCAGGCUAAGCGAGGAGUGAGAUUGGUCUGGUGCUGGUGGGGGAUCGUUAGAUGACGUAUUUGCUUUAUCGUAUUUCUUUUUUUUAUCGAUAAAGUCUUGAUGUGAAGUUACUUCGAAUAUGAAUCAAGUAAUAUACUCACGGUUAUGUGUCUCCAUACAUGUAACCGGUUCGCCUUUUGCUGCGGCACUCUGCAUUUUAUGUUUCCUUAUGAAAAAUAAGCUAUACCUGUUUUGUUUUUGUUCGUGAAAUUCCUGAUAAUUAAAAAGUUAUAACGACGUUGACGAUU